rfam:Callithrix jacchus clone CH259-252N7, complete sequence.
CAAUGUGUUUCAAGCCAUAAUCUGGAGUCAGAGUGUUAGCGAUUCCU